rnacentral:rRNA from 1 species
UACGGAGGGUGCAAGCGUUAUCCGGAUUCACUGGGUUUAAAGGGAGCGCAGGCGGGCUGGUAAGUCAGUGGUGAAAGCCUUGAGCUUAACUCGAGAACUGCCAUUGAUACUAUCAGUCUUGAAUAUUGUUGAGGUUUGCGGAAUGGGUCAUGUAGCGGUGAAAUGCAUAGAUAUGACCCGGAACACCUAUUGCGAAGGCAGCUUACUACGCAGAGAUUGACGCUCAUGCACGAAAGCGUGGGGAUCAAACAGG